ACGUAUGUCAAUUUUAAUGCUUCUUAGCAUCAUGUUUAUUAUCUAAAUUGAUUUCUAUUUUACAAUCACACUUAUUUCUUUUUUGAUAGAUUGGCUGAUUUUUUCGGGGAAGAUUCAUAUCAUUACCCAUAAAACACAAGCUUCCAAUAUAGUUAUCAAGAAAAUCAGAAGUAAACAAAAACUUUCUUAUUGAUAAUCACUUUAACUUUUACUAUAUAUAGAUAUAUAUCAAGCCAUCGACCAUUAAUGAGGCAUAAAAUCCUAAAAAAUAAAACAUUGAUCAGCUCAGCAGAACACUAAAACAGAAUGACAUGCCAGAGAUAAUCAAUAAAAAAAAUCUCAGAAAUAAAUUGAAAUCCUAUUCUUAUCCCGAUUUGGGCGAAAAACGAGUUGCAAUGCUUUUUAAUUUUAUGUCAUUUUUCACAUUUGUUUUUGAAAUGCAAUUAAAUUUUAUUUCAAAAUUAAAAUCUUUUCAAGAUUUUUUUUUUGGAAUCUCCUAUUGUAUUCCUUGUUUAAGAGUGUAAAAGUGUAAAAAGUAGUUAAUUUACGGAGCAAGAUGAAAAAAAAGUCCAUUUUUAAAGGAACAUUUGAAAUAAAACGGAGUGAGCUAAUGAUUAGAAUUCUCGCAUGAGUAGUUAAUCAAGACCAAUAUCAAAUGGAACAUUAAUAUCGAAAAAUUAUUUCCAGUCCCCUCAUGUCAAAAACCUUAGUGGAGUCACUUAAGCAAAUAAUAACACCCAGUUAUAUUAAAACAUGACAAUAACGUGAUAUACAUCAACUUAAUGGUGAUAUUUAACACCAAUAGCUUAAACAAAAUGUGAUGAUGACUUACAUUCCAGAACAUUUAGUAUAGUUGAUUCAUUACCGCUUGAGCAAAUGCUUGGGGAUGUUGCACAAUACUUCACUUAAGUUUUGUAUUUUCAUGUCCUACGGGAUCAUUUAUUCCAACCCAUUUUAAAAUCGAAUACCGAUAAAGCUGCUGCUAUGGACCUUAAGAGAUGCUACAAAUUUACAUUAUCUCACAUCAUCAGAUUCAAUCAAACCAAGUCUGCAUUUCAUAUCAUAAUGUUGUUAUUAUUCAUUCCGGGGAAUCUUCCUUUUUCCAUAGUUUUAUACUUUAAAAUAGCAGGUGUAAAACGUUGCUUCGUACCAUAGUGUUGUUAUACUUUUCUGGCCCUUCGGGAAUAUCAAAUACGCUUAAGCCGGUGCUAGAGGGUGUGAGUUUCCAAUUUUAUGUUUUCAUUGCUUCUGAGAGUUCUUCCUUGUUUACACAUUUGUGGAGUGAACAGUCAAUGUAUCAAUCUACAUGUAUUACCAUUUAUUCGAUUCAACAAAUUUUUAACAGUGAUUGCCUGCUGCAAAGUUAUAAAUGCAAGAAUCAAGAACAAUGUGCAUGAGAGAUAGACUUAAGUGAAGUAAAAAGGAAUAAUAUUGCUUUAGUUAAAGUGUCAGAUGAAAUAGAAAAACUUGAAACAUUAUUGGUGAAACGUAAUAAUACGAUAAAUUAUCAAGAUAGAGAGAUAAACAGCACACAAAAAGAAAUUGAAGUAUUAACUGAGAGAAUAAAUAAGGCUAAAGAAGAUUUUAACGACAAAAACAAGAGACGAAUUUGGUUGCGAUUAACAAGGCAAAAAGUUAGUGCAAAGACUAAGCUUAAAAAAUUAAUGGUAAAAAGAACCUGUGAGAAUGAAGAAAAUCCACAUUAGAAAUAAAGAGAAGUGAAUUAAUUUCUGAAAGGAAUAGGAUAGCGGAACUUGUCCGUCAAGACAGCAAUUAAAGGAUGGAAGACAAGAAGAAGACAUAAACAAAAAUAUAAACGGUGUUGAAAUACUCAUAUGACUAUUAAUCAAGUGAUUUAUCAUAACCACGAACGCAUGUUAUGUUCUAUCGUACAUAUGUUUUAAACUUUUAAGGUUGACUGACGCAGGAUCUUGAAAUGAAUAUGCAAUAUCAUUGUGGUGAAAAUAUCAUUAACUCCUAAAGAGAGACGUAUUUUAUUUUAUCAAUGUAAACCAAAUACACUUUACAUGUUAUAAUGUACAAAAUUUAAAAUAUUCAUAUAUGCACCAAUGAAUAUGAUAAACUUACUCAAUA